rnacentral:rRNA from 1 species
GACGAACGCUGGCGGCGUGCUUAACACAUGCAAGUCGAACGGAAAGGCCCUGCUUUUGUGGGGUUCUCGAGUGGCGAACGGGUGAGUAACACGUGAGUAACCUGCCCUUGACUUUGGGAUAACUUCAGGAAACUGGGGCUAAUACCGGAUAGGAGCUCCUGCUGCAUGGUGGGGGUUGGAAAGUUUCGGCGGUUGGGGAUGGACUCGCGGCUUAUCAGCUUGUUGGUGGGGUAGUGGCUUACCAAGGCAUUGACGGGUAGCCGGCCUGAGAGGGUGACCGGCCACAUUGGGACUGAGAUAGGGACCAGACUGCAACGGGAGGCAGCAGUGGAGAAUAUUGCACAAUGGGCGGAAGCCUGAUGCAGAAACGCCGCGUGCGGGAUGACGGCCUUCGGGUUGAAAACCGCUUUCGCCUGUGACGAAGCGUGAGUGACGGUAAUGGGUAAAGAAGCACCGGCUAACUACGUG